rnacentral:lncRNA from 1 species
UGGUACCAGAGGAGGCAUCAUGGGCAUAACCGGUUACAUUAAUUGGUUGCCACUGAAAUAAUUAUUUUUAUAGCAGUUGUAACCAGUUACAGGUUUAGUGCAAUCGGUUACAGGUCCGAGAAAACUGUUUUUCUGUUAUUUGUUUGUGUAAUUUGUAUCCUAACUAUCUUGUAAUGCUUGUAUAAAUGCCAUGGAGGCAUCCUCAUUGUUAAUGAAACUUUUU